UUUUAUUACAUCCAUAAUGUUACCUGAAAUUUUUAUACAAUAUUUUUCAUACACAGUAUAUUUUUGAGCCUGUCUUAUAAUGAGUAUUUUAACAUUGCUUCAGCUGUCCUUUCUUAAAAAUGAUGAUUAGAUUGUUCGUUUUCUUUAUGGCAGAGUGAGCAGUAAUGAGUGCUUUUUCUUUUCUACAUAUAAUGUAGAAAAAAUGUUAUGAGUAUUAUUUUUAAGCAUAUUUUAGAAUGGGAUGUCAUGAUUAAAAAAUCUGAUCACAAAAUAAUGGUGUUCUGUUAUACAGUUAUCUGGAUAAUGUUUUUUAAUUUCAGUAUAAUUUAUAUACAGUGCAAUAUUCAGAUAUUAUGUAUACUCAUCAAUCAGAUUUGAUGAAUGCAUAUCAAAAUAUGAACACUUCCAUCACUUCAUUAAUUUUCCUUGUGUCCCUUUUCAGUCAAUCUUCCCCACAGAAGCAAAUAUCUAUCACAAGUUAUUUUGGCUUGUUCUAGAAUUUCAAAUAAAUGAAAUCACACAGUGUGUAUUGUUUGACUAGUUUCACUCAGCAUAACUUUUUUGAGAUCCAUCUGUGAUGUUGCUGUAUCAGUAGAUUGUUUCAUUUUACUUCCUAAUAACGUUUAUAAAAGCAAAACAAGUUUAUUUAUUCAUUCACCUCUUAAUAAAUAUCAUAGGUUAUUUCUGGUUUUGGGCUAUUAGGAAUGAAGCUGUAUAAACAUUUUUAAACAGGGCUUUCUAUGGACAUAUAUUUCCAUUUCUUUUGGAUAAUUAAUUAGGAAUGUAAAUUGCUGCGUCAUAGGGUAGUUGCAUAUUCAGCUUUAAAAUAACCUGACAAAUAGUUUUCCAAAGUGGUUGUAUAAUUUUAGUUAAUUUUUUAAAAAAUGACUUAAGUAACUUAGUAUUUGAAGUACUCACAGUUUUCUCAGUGAAACACCAAAUUUUAAAACAUAACAAAUAAAUAAGAAUCAAGUAGUAUUUUGUGGAUAAUUUACUAAUUAGAUGUGAUUUAAAAGGACAACAAAAUCAUAUCAUUGGCAAAAUUAUUAAAGUUGUAAAUGCUUAUAGAUUUCUACCUAAAAUAUAUAUGACUGACUUUCUCCUUAGUUCGUCAGUAGGGUUGAGACUUUGUGGUCAGUUUUUUACUCCUUGGCAAUGUGAAUAUUAGGUUUAAAGCCCAAGGUUUUCAUAGUUAGGGAUGAACUUGUCUAAUAAUUCUUAUUUCAUCAAUGAUUAUAAUUAUUAGAAACAUGAUUUUUUUUUGGUCUGAUUUUGAAAUUGUUAGCUUUCAUGAAUAUUGUAAAGAGAUGUGUUAAUUGGUAAUUUUUUGCAACAAUGGCCAGAUAUUACAGGGGAAAAUCUGGUUAAGUAUCUUAAGGAAAAUUCCAUACUGUGAAAUUUGCAAGUUUAGUGACAAUCAUUGAACUUACAUAUACUUUCUAUGAUCAAAGUUAUGUAGUAAGUUUUUUUGGAGGAAGGAUAUGCAAGAGAAAGGUAGAUAUGCAUCUCAGACAGGUAUUCAUUAACUCGUUCAUGUAAUAUGUAUUUGUCAGAUGCCUAUCAUUUGCCAAACACUGAGCCAGGCAGUGGGUAUACAGUAUUGAAUAAAAUAGAUCCCAUCACUGAACUCUAGGAGCUCAUUGUCUAGGAGAAUAGACGGAAAUUAAAGAAGCAGACAUGCAAAUAAAAAUAUCAUAAAAGCUUGAAAUAAGUGCUCUGAGGAAAAAUUAUGUGAGAAAUAUGAGAGUACUGUGGGUAGAGAUAAUACUUUUGAUUUGUAUGGUAUAUGUUUACUUUUGGGUUUGAACACUGUGAGGAGAAUGUGGAGAUACAUCCUUCACGUGUGUAUAAAGUUUGUGCUCUUCUAAAUGAUAGAAUGUUUUGAGUUGCAUAAAAAUUAAAAUAUACACAUGUGACAUGGAAGUACUAUGUAAAUAUUUCUGUUUAGAUGUUUAACUAGACACACAUAAUUACAAAUAAUUUUGUGGUCAUAUAUAUUUACUAUUGAAUACAUAACGGUCUGAGGAUUCUUUCUUUACUUAAUUGCGUUAUACUUCUUUACUAUUCUUACCUAAUUUUAAACUUAAACCCUCAGGAAGUAUUGCCCUUAUGUAUUUUGGUUGAUAGAUUAAUAGCUUUAUGGCUAAUACUCUCAAUAGAACUUGUUAAACGUAAUACAUCUGUUAUAAGGUUUAAAUGAUACCUUCUUCCAGAUCCUAAGAAAAGUACAAGUAAUUAUGUUCUCAUUUUAUUGGUACACCAUUGCCUUUACAGUGACAGUCAAAAGCAUUGUGCAGUGUAAAUAGAAUAAAAUACAGUGAUCUUAAUCUGGAGAAACAGGUUUAUUUUUUCCAACUGGAGAUAUCUGAAAUGCUUGUCAUAAAGAAAUUAUAAAAACAUUUGAGUAGAUGUUAAACACUACAAAGAGCUUGAGGGUAAAUGCUUAAGUUUUUUCUUGGUGACUCCUGCAUAAGUUAGCUUAUGAUCAGAUAAUCAGUUGUCUGGGUAAAAAAACAAACAAACAAACAAGUGUUUAGAUGCUUAAGUAUAUAUAGUGUAACACAUUUGACUAGAAAAAUCUGAAUAAUGGGACAUUUAAAAAACUUAUCCUUUGCUCUUAUUUUUUAAAGCUAACAUCUGAUUUAAUAACAAUUUGAAAAAUAGUUGAGAAAUAUUAAAAAGUUAUAAAAGAUGUUAGCUUUACUGAUAAUGAUGUAAAAAUUGUAUUUAUUAAUCUGCCAGCAGAUGUCAAAUAUAAAUAAAAGCAAGUAUUAAAAAGACUGGAUGAAAAGUAGGCAGAAACCAGAAGGUAUAUUUGCAUUUACAUGGUUUGUCAGCCAAGAAUAUUUGUCAGUUUGUGUAAGGCAGGAUGGCUGGAACCUAAGAAGUUUGUUUGUAAAUUCUGCUAAAUCCUUGAUUGACCUCUGGACUAUACAUAGUAUGCUAUGCUCCAGAAGAUCUUGUAGAAAGCAACAGCUGAAAGAUUAAGAGGACUUUUCAGAGAUUUCAGAUACUGUCCAAGGCAAGUGAAGAAACAGAAGAAUAUGAGCCAAAAUCCGGAGAAAAACUGAAUAGGGGGGACCUUCAAGAUGGCAGAGGAGUAAGACGUGGAGAUCACCUUCCUCCCCACAAAUACAUCAGAAAUACAUCUACAUGUGGAACAACUCCUACAGAACACCUACUGAGCACUGGCAGAAGACCUCAGACUUCCCAAAAGGCAAGAAACUCCCCACGUACCUGGGUAGGGCAAAAGAAAAACGAAAAAACAGAGACAAAAGAGGAGGGGUGGGGCCUGCACCUUGGGGAGGGAGCUGUGAAGGAGGAAAAGUUUCCACACACUAGGAAGCCCCUUCACUGGUGGAGAUGGGGUGUGGGCAGAAGGGAAGCUUUGGAGCCAUGGAGGAGAGUGCAGCAACAGGGGUGCAGAAGGCAAAGCAGAGAGAUUCCUACACAGAAGUUCGGUGCCGACCAGCACUCACCAGCCCGAGAGGCUUGUCUGCUCACCCACCAGCAUGGGACGGGUGGGGGCUGGGAGCUGAGGUUCGGGCUUCAGAGGUCAGAUCCCAGGGAGAGGACUGGGGUUGGCUGUGUGCACAGGGCCUCAAGGGGGCCUGUGCGCCACAGCUAGCCAGGACAGAGUCUGGGAAAAAGUUUGGACCUGCGUAAGAGACCAUUGUUUCGGGGUGCGUGAGGAAAAGUGAUUCAGAGCACUACCUAAACGAACUCCAGAGAUGGGCGCAAGCGGCUAUCAGUGUGGGCACCAGUGACAGGCAUGAAACGCUAAGGCUGCUGCUGCAGCCACGAAGAAUCCUGUGUGCAAGCACAGGUCGCUAUCCACACCUCCCCUCCCUGGAGCCUGUGCAGCCUGCCACUCUCAGGGUCCCAUGAUCCAGGGACAACUUCCCUGGGAGAACACACGGCGCGCCUCAGGCUGUUGCAGUGUCACUCUGGCCUCUGCUACCGCUGGCUCACCCCGCAUUCCCUACUCCUCCCUUCCCCUGGCCUGAGUGAGCCAGAGCCCCCUGAUCAGCUUCUACUUUAACUCCGUCCUGUCUGAGCAAAGAACAGAUGCCCUCAGGCGACCUACAUGCAGAGGCAGGGCCAAAUCCAAAGCUGAAACCCAGGAGCUGUGCGAACAAAGAGAAAGGGAAAUUUCUCCCAGCAGCCUCAGGAGCAGCAGAUUAAAUCCUGACAAUUAACUUGAUGUACCCUGCAUCUCUGGAACACCUGAAUAGACAAUGAAUCAUACCAAAAUUGAGGUGGUGCACUUUGGGAGCAACUGUAAACUUGGGGUUUGCAUUCUGCGUCUAAUUUGCUUCUGGUUUUAUGUUUAUCUUUGUUUAGUAUUUACAGCUUAUUAUCACUGGUAGAUUUGUUUAUUGAUUUGGUUGCUCUCUUCCUUUUUUUUUAAGUAUAUGUAUAUUUUUUCUUUUGCUCUAUUUGUGAAUGUAUAUGUGUAUACUACUUUGUGUGAUUUUGUCUGUAUAGCUUUGCUUUUACCAUUUGUCCUGGGGUUCUGUCUGUCUGGUUUUUUUGUUUGUUUGUUUGUUUUGUUUUUUAUUAUAGCUUUAGCACUUGUUAUCCCUGGUGGAUUUGUUUUUCUGGUUUGGUUGCUCGCUUCUUUCUCUCUUUCUUUCUUUCUUUCUUCUUUCUUUCUUUCUUUCCCUCUCUCUUUCAUUACUUCUUAAUUUUUAAUAAUAUAUUUUUAAAUAACUUUAUUUUAUUUUAUUUAUUUCUUCCUUUCUUUUUAUUUUCUUCUGGGCUGUGUGGCUGACAAAGUCUUGGUGCUCCGGCUGCGUGUCAGGCCUGAGCCUCUGAGGUGGGAGAGCUGAGUUCAAGACAUAGGAUCAUUGGAGACAUCCUGGCCCCACGUAAUAUCAAUGGGUGAGAGCUUUCCCAGGAAUCUCUGUCUCAAUGCUAAGGCCCAGCUCCACUCAAUAACUAGCAAGCUCCAGUACUGGACACCCCAUGCCAAACAACAAGCAAGACAGGAACACAACCCCAGCCAUUAGCGGAGAGGCUUCCUAAAAUCAUAUUAAGUUCACAGACACCCCAAACACACUGCCAGAUAUGGUCCCACCCACCAAAAAGACAAGAUCCAACCUCAUCCACCAGAAAACAGGCACCAGUCCCCUCCACCAGGAAGCCUACACAACCCACUGUACCAACCUUAACCACUGGGGGCAGACACUAAAAACAAAGGGAAUUUUGAACCUGCAGCCAGCGAAAAGGAGACUCCAAACACAGUAAGUACAGCAAAGUGAGAAGACAGAGAAAUACACAGCAGAUGAAGCAGGAAGGUAAAUGCCAACCAGACCAGACAAAUGAAGAGGAAAUAGGCAGUCUACCUGAAAAAGAAUUCAGAGUAAUGAUAGUAAAGAUGAUCCAAAAUCUUGGAAAUAGAAUGGAGAAAAUACAAGAAACAUUUAACAAGGACCUAGAAGAACAAAAGAGCAAACAAACAAUGAAGAACAACAAAAUAAAUGAAACUGAAAAUUCUCUAGAAGGAAUCAAUAGCAGAAUAACUGAGGCAGAAGAACAGAUAAGUGACCUGGAAGAUAAAAUAGAGCAAACAACUACCACAGAGCAGAAUAAAGAAAAAAGAAUGAAAACAAUUAAGGACAGUCUCAGAGACCUCAGAGACAAUAUAAAAUUCACCAACAUUCGAAUUAUAGGGCUCCCAGAAGAAGAAGAGAAAAAGAUAGGGACUGACAAAAUAUUUGAAGCGAUUAUAGUUGAAAACUUGCCUAAGAUGGGAAUGGAAACAGUCAAUCAAAUCCAGGAAGCACAGAGAGUCCCAUACAGGAUAAAUCCAAGGAGAAACAUGCCAAGACACAUAUUAAUCAAAACAUCAAAAAUUAAAUACAAAGAAAAAAUAUUAAAAA